ACNCCGUAAACGAUGAAUGCUAGCUGUUAGCGAUAUACUGUUAGCGGCACAGAGAAAUCGUUAAGCAUUCCACCUGGGGAGUACGCCGGCAACGGUGAAACUCAAAGGAAUUGACGGGGGCCCGCACAAGCGGAGGAACAUGUGGUUUAAUUCGAUGAUACGCGAGGAACCUUACCUGGGCUUAAAUUGCAGUGGAAUAACGUGGAAACAUGUUAGCCUUCGGGCCGCUGUGAAGGUGCUGCAUGGUUGUCGUCAGCUCGUGCCGUGAGGUGUCGGCUUAAGUGCCAUAACGAGCGCAACCCUCAUCGAUAGUUACUAACAGGUUAAGCUGAGGACUCUAUCGAGACUGCCGACGUAAGUCGUGAGGAAGGUGGGGAUGACGUCAAAUCAGCACGGCCCUUACGUCCAGGGCUACACACGUGUUACAAUGGGGGGUACAAAGGGCAGCUACCUGGCGACAGGAUGCUAAUCUCAAAAACCUCUCUCAGUUCGGAUUGGAGUCUGCAACCCGACUCCAUGAAGCUGGAUUCGCUAGUAAUCGCGCAUCAGCCACGGCGCGGUGAAUACGUUCCCGGGCCUUGUACACACCGCCCGUCAAGCCAUGGGAGCCGGGGGGACCUGAAGUAUGCAACCGUAAGGAGCGUCCUAGGGUAAAACUGGUGACUGGGGCU
rnacentral:rRNA from 1 species